CCUCGUGAACAUGGACCAGCAGCGGUUGGAUCGGGACCACAAGGCAGUAGUGGAAGGUGA
rnacentral:rRNA from 1 species